rnacentral:rRNA from 1 species
UACGGAGGGUGCAAGCGUUGCUCGGAAUUAUUGGGCGUAAAGCGCACGCAGGCGGCAAGAUAAGUCAGUUGUGAAAUUCCCGAGCUUAGCUUGGGAGCUGCAGCUGAUACUGUCUUGCUUGAGUACGGAAGAGGGGAGCGGAAUUCCCAGUGUAGAGGUGAAAUUCGUAGAUAUUGGGAGGAACACCGGUGGCGAAGGCGGCUCCCUGGUCCGAUACUGACGCUCAUGUGCGAAAGCGUGGGGAGCAAACAGG